rnacentral:rRNA from 1 species
CAGUCGCCACGGUAAUACGAAGGGGGCUAGCGUUGCUCGGAAUUACUGGGCGUAAAGGGAGCGUAGGCGGAUCGUUAAGUUGGGGGUGAAAGCCCGGGGCUCAACCUCGGAACUGCCUUCAAUACUGGCGAUCUUGAGUAUGAGAGAGGUGUGUGGAACUCCGAGUGUAGAGGUGAAAUUCGUAGAUAUUCGGAAGAACACCAGUGGCGAAGGCGACACACUGGCUCAUUACUGACGCUGAGGCUCGAAAGCGUGGGGAGCAAACAGGAUUAGAUACCCCCGUAGUCCCUGUCUCUUAUAC